rnacentral:tRNA from 1 species
AGAAUCCGUCGAUUUUAAUCAUGAGGGUUCAAGUCCCUCUAUCCCCA